UGAAGUACUCAAAAUUUACUCUGCGUUUAAACUCUCCACCGCCGGUCUCUCUCUCCUUGCUCCGCCGCCGCUCUCCGCAUUUCGGUAACGACCUACACAAUCGAACACCGCCGCCGCCGAUCUCCAGCGGCGAUCGAACACCAAUCCUCCACAUCUAACAAUCGAACACCAAGCCUCCUCAUUCUUCCGCCGAUCUCUACUAUUCUCCACAUCUGCACACAAUCGAACACCAAGCCUCCUCGUUCCCCCGCCGCUCUCUCCUUUUCUCCACCGCCGCAUACAAUCGAACACCAAGCCUCCUCGUUCCGCCGCCGCUCUCUCUCCGCUUUUUCCACCGCCGCCGCUCUCCACUAUUCUCCACCGCCUGUUGCUCUCAAGCUCCAAGGAUGUAUAUACAGUUCGCGAUUCAAUCACAGUAAUAAAUUUCGGUGAUUGUUGAGUCUAGUCUUCUGAAACAGUUUGUUGGGAAAGGAUUGGCUUAUUUCAUGGAUAGGGAUGAAUUUAGCUAGCACACAGCCCCAAACGCAACAAAUAGCUCAUAAUCUGGACUGCAUUUUUAGCUCUUUUCAUCUUCAUUUUGUUACUUUGUUUCAAUUUCGAAGAUCUUGGGCUUAUGUUGAUUUGGAAUACUUGUAGGUCUAUAUUGCAGCUACCGAGCAUUGUUCAUUGUAAGCUUCCUUUCCACGAAGGAUACAACAAGGUUGAUGUUGAUGCUGCUAAUAAGUAUGGUGUUGCUGUCGGAAAGUCACCGAGACUACAGCAGAGUUAGCAGCUUCACUCUCUUUAGCUGCAGCCAGAAGAAUUGUAGAAGUUGAUGAAUUCAUGAAGGGUGGCUUGUAUGAUGGAUGGCUUCCUCGUCCUUCGUCUACAAACUUUGGAGCAGGUCACAUUGGAUCUGCCUAUGCAAGAAUGAUGGUUGAAGGGUUCAAGAUGAACUUGAUCUACUUUGAUCUCUACCAGUCCACUCGUCUGGAGAAGUUCGUUACUGCCUAUGGGUACUUCCUCAAGGCGAAUGGAGAGGCGACGACGUAUCAUUUGGUGAAUAAGGAGAGGAUGGUGAAGAUGAAGAAGGCAAGUUGCAAUGGUGCGGGAGAAAGCGGAUACGUGUAUGGUUAGCCAUUUGAGAUGCAUAGCAAGGUUUCGCUGUUUUCGUCCAGGUCCCCGGGAUCAUGCUCUGUAUUCAAAUUCAUAUAUUUUUUGCAUUUCAAAUUCAAAUGCACUGUAAAAAAAUUUCAUCAAUAUAAUGUCAUUUCCAUUUAGUUUA